rnacentral:rRNA from 1 species
UAGGGAAUCUUCGGCAAUGGACGGAAGUCUGACCGAGCAACGCCGCGUGAGUGAAGAGGGUUUUCGGAUCGUAAAGCUCUGUUGUAAGAGAAGAACGAGUGUGAGAGUGGAAAGUUCACACUGUGACGGUAUCUUACCAGAAAGGGACGGCUAACUACGUGCCAGCAGCCGCGGUAAUACGUAGGUCCCGAGCGUUGUCCGGAUUUAUUGGGCGUAAAGCGAGCGCAGGCGGUUAGAUAAGUCUGAAGUUAAAGGCUGUGGCUUAACCAUAGUACGCUUUGGAAACUGUUUAACUUGAGUGCAAGAGGGGAGAGUGGAAUUCCAUGUGUAGCGGUGAAAUGCGUAGAUAUAUGGAGGAACACCGGUGGCGAAAAGCGGCUCUCUGGCUUGUAACUGACGCUGAGGCUCGAAAGCGUGGGGAGCAAAACAGGAUUAGAUACCCUGGUAGUCCACGCCGUAAACGAUGAGUGCUAGGUGUUAGACCCUUUCCGGGGUUUAGUGCCGCAGCUAACGCAUUAAGCACUCCGCCUGGGGAGUACGACCGCAAGGUUGAAACUC